GCAGUGGGGAAUAUUGCACAAUGGGCGCAAGCCUGAUGCAGCCAUGCCGCGUGUAUGAAGAAGGCCUUCGGGUUGUAAAGUACUUUCAGCGGGGAGGAAGGCGAUGCGGUUAAUAACCGCGUCGAUUGACGUUACCCGCAGAAGAAGCACCGGCUAACUCCGUGCCAGCAGCCGCGGUAAUACGGAGGGUGCAAGCGUUAAUCGGAAUUACUGGGCGUAAAGCGCACGCAGGCGGUCUGUUAAGUCAGAUGUGAAAUCCCCGGGCUUAACCUGGGAACUGCAUUUGAAACUGGCAGGCUUGAGUCUUGUAGAGGGGGGUAGAAUUCCAGGUGUAGCGGUGAAAUGCGUAGAGAUCUGGAGGAAUACCGGUGGCGAAGGCGGCCCCCUGGACAAAGACUGACGCUCAGGUGCGAAAGCGUGGGGAGCAAACAGGAUUAGA
rnacentral:rRNA from 1 species